ensembl:misc_RNA 7SK 7SK RNA
GUGUAUGAGGGUGAUCUGGCUACGACAUCUGUCACCCCAUUGAUCAUCAGAGUCAAAUCUAUCUGACUAGGUGAAUAUCCCCUUCCUCCCUCACCACUCCAUGUGUGCCUCUCCCCUAGCUACCUGCUUGGUCAAGGAGGAUGAUCUUCCCCCUUACAGAGAUAGACCUGUCUUUGGUUGAGGGUGUGCUUCCAUGCUAGAACCUCCAAACAAGCUCUCCAGAACCUAUAUCUGUGCAAUGAUGAUUUUCUUCAUUGGUAUAGAAAUAAUUCUGAUGAAGAGUUAACAUACUAUUUGAA